GAUCAUGGCUCAGGAUGAACGCUAGCUACAGGCUUAACACAUGCAAGUCGAGGGGCAGCAUGAACUUAGCUUGCUAAGUUUGAUGGCGACCGGCGCACGGGUGAGUAACACGUAUCCAACCUACCGGUUAUUCCGGGAUAGCCUUUCGAAAGAAAGAUUAAUACCGGAUAGUAUAACGAGAAGGCAUCUUUUUGUUAUUAAAGAAUUUCGAUAACCGAUGGGGAUGCGUUCCAUUAGUUUGUUGGCGGGGUAACGG
rnacentral:rRNA from 1 species